CUGGGCAUGACAACGCAGGACAGGGCCAGGGUGGUGGAGCUGUGGAUUCAUGUGGCCGAGGGGUGCCUAGGCCUCAGAAAUUUCUCAUCGUUCCACAUGAUCCUUUCUGCUCUGCAGAGCCCUGCCAUUAAGCGUCUCAAAGACACCUGGGGACAAGUAUCCAGGGAGAGAUCCUACACCUUUAAGAAGUGGUGCAGGGGAGAGCAGCACGUGAGCAUGAGACUGCUCCUGAAGGUAACCUGGGGCUGGAGAUCUGGGAGGAGGGGUGUGUGAGGGAGCCGGGAACAUCCUGAGGGCAUCCUAGGAACUGAGGCUAUGGUAAGGCCAUCCUGGGGUUCAGAGACCCCUGUGGAUGGGGCAGGAAGGAGAUGCCCACACGGCCACCCUCUGCCCUCUCCCCUCCACAUCUCAGUUUGGCUAUUGUUGGGACACACUCUGGGAGUGCAGAG
rnacentral:lncRNA from 1 species